UACGGAGGGUGCAAACGUUGCUCGGAAUCAUUGGGCGUAAAGCGCACGUAGGCGGCCUGAUAAGUCGGGUGUGAAAGCCCUGGGCUCAACCCAGGAAGUGCACUCGAAACUGUCAGGCUUGAAUAUGGAAGAGGGUCGCGGAAUUCCCGGUGUAGAGGUGAAAUUCGUAGAUAUCGGGAGGAACACCAGUGGCGAAGGCGGCGACCUGGGCCAAUACUGACGCUGAGGCGCGAAAGCGUUGGGGAGCAAACAGG
rnacentral:rRNA from 1 species